GGGGAUGUAGCUCAGAUGGUAGAGCGCUCGCUUAGCAUGCGAGAGAUACUGGGAUCGAUAAUUUUUCUCCAUUUUUCUCCA
rnacentral:tRNA from 1 species